rnacentral:tRNA from 1 species
AUCUAAAUAGCUUAUUUUAGAGCAUAAUAUUGAAGAUAUUAAGGAAAUUUUUUAUUUUUAGAUA